rnacentral:rRNA from 1 species
CACGUAGGGGACGAGCGUUGUCCGGAUUCAUUGGGCGUAAAGCGCACGUAGGCGGCUUUCUAAGUCAGGGGUGAAAUCCUGGAGCUCAACUCCAGAACUGCCUUUGAUGACUGGGAGCUCGAGUCCGGAAGAGGUGAGUGGAACUCCGGAGUGUAGAGGUGAAAUUCGUAGAUAUUCGGAAGAACACCAGUGGCGAAGGCGGCUCACUGGUCCGGUACUGACGCUGAGGUGCGAAAGCGUGGGGAGCAACAGG